CAAUAUAAGUGAUGGCGACCGGCGCACGGGUGAGUAACACGUAUCCAACCUGCCGAUAACUCGGGGAUAGCCUUUCGAAAGAAAGAUUAAUACCCGAUGGUAUAAUAAAACCGCAUAGUUUAAUUAUUAAAGAAUUUCGGUUAUCGAUGGGGAUGCGUUCCAUUAGGCAGUUGGUGAGGUAACGGCUCACCAAACCUUCGAUGGAUAGGGGUUCUGAGAGGAAGGUCCCCCACAUUGGAACUGAGACACGGUCCAA
rnacentral:rRNA from 1 species